rnacentral:rRNA from 1 species
AAUGAACGCUGGCGGCAGGCCUAACACAUGCAAGUCGAACGGAUCCUUCGGGAUUAGUGGCGGACGGGUGAGUAACGCGUGGGAACAUACCCCUUGGUACGGAAUAGCCUCGGGAAACUGGGAGUAAUACCGUAUGUGGUCGAGAGACGAAAGAUUUAUCGCCAAAGGAUUGGCCCGCGUUGGAUUAGGUAGUUGGUGGGGUAAUGGCCUACCAAGCCGACGAUCCAUAGCUGGUUUGAGAGGAUGAUCAGCCACACUGGGACUGAGACACGGCCCAGACUCCUACGGGAGGCAGCAGUGGGGAAUCUUAGACAAUGGGGGAAACCUUGAUCUAGCCAUGCCGCGUGAUCGAUGAAGGCCUUAGGGUUGUAAAGAUCUUUCAGGUGGGAAGAUAAUGACUGUACCACCAGAAGAAGCCCCGGCUAACUCCGUGCCAGCCGCCGCAGUAA